rnacentral:rRNA from 1 species
GUGGAUUAGAUACCCUGGUAGUCCACGCCCUAAACGAUGUCUACUAGUUGUUGGGGUAGCAAUACCUUAGUAACGCAGCUAACGCGUGAAGUAGACCGCCUGGGGAGUACGGUCGCAAGAUUAAAACUCAAAGGAAUUGACGGGGGCCCGCACAAGCGGUGGAUGAUGUGGAUUAAUUCGAUGCAACGCGAAAAACCUUACCUACCCUUGACAUGCUAGGAAGUCCGCAGAGACGUGGAUGUGCCCGAAAGGGAACCUAGACACAGGUGCUGCACGGCCGUCGACAACU